AUGAACUUUAACCAUAAUUUUAAAUUAUUCACUAUUGUCCCAUUCAAUGUCUAUAACAACAACAUUAUAUCAAAAAAAAAAAAGAAGAAAGAGAAAAGUAAAAACGACAUGAUAACAAUUUAUUUGUGUUAUUGUUUCUUUAGUUUUUGUUUACAGAUUAAAGAGAAGAAGCACAAGAUCCAAACACCGCCUCCCAGAAAUCACUGA